rnacentral:rRNA from 1 species
CACGGGGGGAGCAAGCGUUGUUCGGAAUCACUGGGCGUAAAGGGCGUGUAGGCGGUCAGGUAAGUGGGACGUGAAAUGCCUCGGCUCACCCGAGGAGCGGCGUCCCAUACUGCUUGGCUUGAGUACGGGAGAGGAUGUGGGAAUUCCUGGUGUAGCGGUGAAAUGCGCAGAUAUCAGGAGGAACACCUAUUGCGAAGGCAGCUCGCUGGGACGUAACUGACGCUGAGACGCGAAAGCGUGGGGAGCAAACAGG